AGAGUGCGCCACGCCCUUCAGAAAGAGAGCGUUUCUCCACUCAGAGACAGUAACCAUCUUUGAUAAAAAGUUUGUAAUCUUUUAACAUUUGAUCAGUGGGACACAUGUGCCACUUGGUGUGCGGCAUUACUGCAAUACGGCGGGCUCCUCACUGCUCCAGGCACUUCGCGAGCGUCACAAAGAGGUGAACAAAACAGAUUCCUGUGGUCAUGAAGUGGGUGUGGGAGGAACUAAUAUGAGUCCGGUAAGGCUGUGAUUAGGACUCUGAAGGAAUAGAACACAGCUUGGAGAGGCUGGAAAACUGCGCGUGCGCAGACUUGGCUUUUCCCUCCGUGUCCACAGGGUUGGGGGGAUUAAGAGGGUUGCCUCGCAGAAAGAAGGCCUGAGCCUUCCUGAAACCCUCCUUUACCCACUAUCAGAAGUGCAGAUGAGGCAGGGAGACAUGACAAGAUGCCUGUGACUGUGAGUCACAAGGAAGUCAACCAAGAAAGGCUGUCAUUGGAACUGCAGUAAGGGCCGUACAGGCCCCCUCCAGCAAAGAAAAUCAAUCACUUACAAUGAAAGGGCCAGCCCUUCAGAGAAUUCCUCCCUUCCCUUUGGAAUGGAAACUGGAAUUCUUGGGCCUUAGGCUUGCUUGAGCUUCUGCCCGCAGAAUGAAUUCUAUGCUUUCAUUCACUCGCCUUGGCUUUCCCAACCAGUACCUUACGAAUCCCAUCCGUGGCCCUUUGUUUGCAACACAAAGGCACAGAGAUAGUGAUGGGCACUUCGGAGCCUCCCUCUUCCGGUACCAGAGGCUUCUCAACUUAAUGCAAAGAUCAGCAAUCCGAUACAUCGUGGCCACGCCAAAUACGUCUCCUUUUUCUGCUUUUCAUACCACACUGUCUAUUAACUGACCUACUGAGGAUGGACGGCGAACAAGCUGUGACCAAAACAGAGACUAACAGGCAAUGGGUUAUCAAGAAACAGUGGCCAAAUAUUGAGAUCCCAGCAGAAUAUGAUUUUCAUUUGUGACUGUGUCUCCUGUGGAGUCUUCUGCGUUCUGCUUAGUCACACGUUACAAUAAUGCAUUAGAAAAGACAGAUAACAAGUUUUCUGUGGCAGAAUUUUACACUG